rnacentral:rRNA from 1 species
UGGGGAAUUUUGGACAAUGGGCGAAAGCCUGAUCCAGCCAUGCCGCGUGAGUGAAGAAGGCCUUCGGGUUGUAAAGCUCUUUCGCGAGGGAAGAAAACGCAACGGCUAAUACCUGUUGUGGAUGACGGUACCUUGAUAAGAAGCACCGGCUAACUACGUGCCAGCAGCCGCGGUAAUACGUAGGGUGCGAGCGUUAAUCGGAAUUACUGGGCGUAAAGCGUGCGCAGGCGGUUUGUUAAGACAGGCGUGAAAUCCCCGGGCUCAACCUGGGAAUGGCGCUUGUGACUGGCAGGCUAGAGUAUGGCAGAGGGGGGUAGAAUUCCACGUGUAGCAGUGAAAUGCGUAGAGAUGUGGAGGAAUACCGAUGGCGAAGGCAGCCCCCUGGGCCAAUACUGACGCUCAUGCACGAAAGCGUGGGGAGCAAACAGG